rnacentral:rRNA from 1 species
UCGGGAAUCUUGGGCAAUGGGCGAAAGCCUGACCCAGCAACGCCGCGUGAGGGAUGAAGGCCCUCGGGUCGUAAACCUCUGUCGGAAGGGAAGAACGACCGCAAGGUGAAUAAUCUUGGGGUCUGACGGUACCUUCAAAGGAAGCGCCGGCUAACUCCGUGCCAGCAGCCGCGGUAAUACGGAGGGCGCAAGCGUUGUUCGGAAUCAUUGGGCGUAAAGCGCGUGUAGGCGGCUUGGCAAGUCGGGUGUGAAAUCCCGGGGCUCAACCCCGGAACUGCAUUCGAUACUGCCUGGCUAGAGUGUGGUAGAGGGAAGUGGAAUUCCAGGUGUAGCGGUGAAAUGCGUAGAUAUCUGGGGGAACAUCAGUGGCGAAGGCGGCUUCCUGGACCAACACUGACGCUGAGGCGCGAAAGCGUGGGGAGCAAACAGGAUUAGAUACCCUGGUAGUCCACGCUGUAAACGAUGGGCACUAGGUGUCUGGGGUAUUGACCCCCUGGGUGCCGCAGCUAACGCAUUAAGUGCCCCGCCUGGGGAGUACGGUCGCAAGAUUA